rnacentral:rRNA from 1 species
UACGUAGGGUGCGAGCGUUAAUCGGAAUUACUGGGCGUAAAGCGUGCGCAGGCGGUUUUGUAAGCCAGAUGUGAAAGCCCCGGGCUUAACCUGGGAAUGGCAUUUGGGACUGCAAGGCUGGAGUGUGGCAGAGGAGACUGGAAUUCCUGGUGUAGCAGUGAAAUGCGUAGAUAUCAAGAGGAACACCUGAGGUGAAGACGGGUUGCUGGGCUGAUACUGACGCUGAGGCGCGAAAGCUAGGGUAGCAAACGGG